UCCCCAGUAGCUCAAUGGUGGAGCGAUCGACUGUUAAUCGAUAGGUUGUAGGUUCGAGUCCUACCUGGGGAG
rnacentral:tRNA from 2 species